GACGAACGCUGGCGGCGUGCUUAACACAUGCAAGUCGAACGGAAAGGCCCUGCUUUUGUGGGGUGCUCGAGUGGCGAACGGGUGAGUAACACGUGAGUAACCUGCCCUUGACUUUGGGAUAACUUCAGGAAACUGGGGCUAAUACCGGAUAGGAGCUCCUGCUGCAUGGUGGGGGUUGGAAAGUUUCGGCGGUUGGGGAUGGACUCGCGGCUUAUCAGCUUGUUGGUGGGGUAGUGGCUUACCAAGGCUUUGACGGGUAGCCGGCCUGAGAGGGUGACCGGCCACAUUGGGACUGAGAUACGGCCCAGACUCCUACGGGAGGCAGCAGUGGGGAAUAUUGCACAAUGGGCGGAAGCCUGAUGCAGCAACGCCGCGUGCGGGAUGACGGCCUUCGGGUUGUAAACCGCUUUCGCCUGUGACGAAGCGUGAGUGACGGUAAUGGGGAAAGAAGCACCGGCUACCUACGU
rnacentral:rRNA from 1 species